UCCUGGCUCAGAAUCAACGCUGGCGGCGUGCCUAACACAUGCAAGUCGAACGCGAAAGGGGCUUCGGCCCUGAGUAGAGUGGCGAACGGGUGAGUAACACGUGGGUGAUCUACCUUCAAGUGGGGGAUUACGUCCCGAAAGGGACGCUAAUACCGCAUGACGUUCUGGGUUUGAAGACCUGGAAACCAAAGCCGGGGACCGCAAGGCCUGGCGCUAGAAGAGGAGCCCGCGCCUGAUUAGCUAGUUGGCGGGGUAACGGCCCACCAAGGCGACGAUCAGUAGCCGGCCUGAGAGGGCGGACGGCCACACUGGGACUGAGACACGGCCCAGACUCCUACGGGGGGCAGCAGUGGGGAAUUGUUCGCAAUGGGCGCAAGCCUAANNACGCAACGCCGCGUGGAGGAUGAAGGUCUU
rnacentral:rRNA from 1 species